UUACGGGAGGCAGCAGUGGGGAAUAUUGCACAAUGGAGGAAACUCUGAUGCAGCAACGCCGCGUGAGUGAUGAAGGUCUUCGGAUUGUAAAGCUCUGUCUUCUGGGACGAUAAUGACGGUACCAGAGGAGGAAGCCACGGCUAACUACGUGCCAGCAGCCGCGGUAAUACGUAGGUGGCAAGCGUUGUCCGGAUUUACUGGGCGUAAAGGAUGUGUAGGCGGAUAUUUAAGUGAGAUGUGAAAUCCCCGGGCUUAACUUGGGGGCUGCAUUUCAAACUGGAUGUCUAGAGUGCAGGAGAGGAAAGCAGAAUUCCUAGUGUAGCGGUGAAAUGCGUAGAGAUUAGGAAGAAUACCAGUGGCGAAGGCGGCUUUCUGGACUGUAACUGACGCUGAGGCAUGAAAGCGUGGGGAGCAAACAGGCUUAGAUACCCUGGUAGA
rnacentral:rRNA from 1 species